GAGGCAGGUUGGGCAAUCGCGGUACUUUCGAGUAUCGAGGAAGGUCCGGACUCCAUAGGGCAGGGUAGCGGCUAACGGCCGUCCGGCAAGGGCUUGUGCGUGGCACAAGACCGAGCCGAGGAACAGGGCCACAGAGACGAGUCUGCCGCGAGGGCAUGCAUUGCAUGCACCAGCACGGCUAUCUCCGUGCUGAGCAGCCGGUUUACCGGUUGCUGCGCGGCAGGGUGAAACGCGGCAACCUCUACCCGGAGCAACAUCAAAUAGGCAUGUGCAGGCUUCGGCCCGAGGGGCGGCUCGCUCCAGCAUGCGGGUAGAUGGCUAGAGUGACGCAGCAAUGCGGCACCCAGAGGAAUGAUUGCCCGCCGGUUCUACCGGCGUACAGAAUCCGGCCUACAGACCUGUCUCACCU
rnacentral:RNase_P_RNA from 1 species